AACUCAGGGAACUGAAACAUCUAAGUACCUGAAGGAAGAGAAAGAAAUUCGAUUCCGUAAGUAGCGGCGAGCGAACGCGGAUUAGCCCAAACCAAUAAAGUUUUCUUUAUUGGGGUUGCGGACAUAUCAUAACGAAGAGGUAUCGUAAUUGAAGAGGUUUGGAAAGACCCACCACAGAAGGUAAUAGUCCUGUAUGUUAAACGAGAAGACUUUAGAUAUGAUCCAGAGUACCACGGGACACGUGAAACCCUGUGGGAAGCAGGAGGGACCACCCUCCAAGGCUAAAUACUACCUAGUGACCGAUAGCGUAUAGUACCGUGAGGGAAAGGUGAAAAGAACCCCGGGAGGGGAGUGAAAUAGAACCUGAAACCCUGCACUUACAAGCUGUGGAAGCACAUUUCUUGUGUGACCGCGUACUUUUUGUAGAACGGGCCAACGAGUUACGUUAAGUAGCAAGGUUAAGCACUUAAGGUGCGGAGCCGUAGCGAAAGCGAGUUUUAACUGAGCGUUCAGUUACUUGACGUAGACCCGAAACCGGGCGACCUACCCAUGAGCAGGAUGAAGCGAAAGUAAAAUGUCGUGGAGGUCCGAACCCACGAGCGUUGAAAAGCUCGGGGAUGACUUGUGGGUAGCGGUGAAAUUCCAAUCGAGCCCGGAGAUAGC
rnacentral:rRNA from 1 species